UAUAUAAGAGCUACCGGAGUACCAGUCGUCUCACGUUCUCUGUACGGUAGACUUGUGUUCAGCAGUUUUCUCAGCUCCACUCUCGACAUUCUGAAGCUUUACUCACCGACAAGUUUUCGGUUAUUUGAAAGACAAUGACUGGCUAUCUCGUUACUUUACUUGCCGUUGCCAUGGUGACAGUGACUGUGGUUAAAGAAACCCAGGCAGCGUGCUGUAAAUCGGUGGAGCGCGGCUGGUGUGCAGACUGUACAGAGACAACUCCAUACUGCGGAUACGGAAAGUGUAACAUUUUCGGUUGUGCUUGCGACGGCGGGUGUAGGAAAAAUUGCGGCGCGACCUACAGUGGCUAUCACUACUCAUUUUGGAGUGGAGGAAGAUACUCUUACUGCACGUGCACGAAGACUAAGAGAUCAGCUGAAGCCCAGCAAGAAGAGGAAAAUCCGACUGAAAAUGCCGAACUCAGAAAUAUCCUCGAACUCGAAAACCCUGAAUUCGGCGGGUAAAGAAGCGACGCUUAUAACAUGAGAUGCCCUAUUUUCAAGGCUUAAAUUGACAUUGAAAAACGACGCGUGCUGAGAAAAGGAAGAGCACCAGAUGCAAAUUGAUUCCUUUUAUUAACUAUAUUCAGAUGUGAAAAACUUAUUGAAGAGAGUUACAUUCUUACGCGUUUUUUUUUUCUUUGUUACUUUUCCUUUUUUUAAUCUCAAUGUUUUAAGGCACCUAAAUGCCUUUCAGCAAUCCCGAAUGCGUCUAAAAUGUUUUUAGCUAUAUUUUAAUAUUUUCACAUCUGUAUUCAUAGAACAAUAAUCACACUCUUGGCUUAUGACAUCUAAUUAUUUCUUCUUACCAGAGUUCUGUACAUGUUAUAUUGUAAUUGCUGCUUGCAAAUAAAUUAUCAGCCUUCAAUUAAA